rnacentral:rRNA from 1 species
GACGAACGCUGGCGGCGUGCUUAACACAUGCAAGUCGAACGGACAGGCCCUGCUCUUGUGGGGUGCUCGAGUGGCGAACGCGCGAGUAACACGUGAGUAACCUGCCCUUGUCUUUGGGAUAACUUCAGGAAACUGGGGCUAAUACCGGAUAGGAGCUUCUGCUGCACGGUGGUGGUUGGAAAGUUUCGGCUGUUGUGGAUGGACUCGCGGGUUAUCCGCUGGAUUGGGGGGUAGUGGCUUACCAAGGCUUUGACGGGUACGCGGCAUGAGAGGGGGGCCGGCCACAUUGGGACUGAGAUACGGCCCAGACGCCUACGGGAGGCAGCAGUGGGGAAUAUUGCACAAUGGGCGGAAGCCUGAUGCAGCAACGCCGCGUGCGGGAUGACGGCCUUCGGGUUGUAAACCGCUUUCGCCUGUGACGAAGCGUGAGUGACGGUAAUGGGUAAAGAAGCACCGGCUAACUACGUG